ACCAAGUAGAAAUAUUGGAAAACCACGGAGCUGAGGGAGAGAGAGAGGGAGAGAGUAAAACAAAUCAUUUUCCACCAGUUGAAUUCAUCGUCUCUCCACUUUCACUCUUCGUUCUCCGAACUUCUCAGGUGGAAAAAAUGGCAGGAAAAGGUGGAAAGGUGCUUUUCGGCCGGAAAGACCACAGCGGCGGCUGUGGCUGCCAAGGAGAAGGAAAAAAUGCGUUUUGUCUAUCCUCUAUUUUUCAUUCUACUACUGAGUUGCUGAAUGCAAGAUGUCUCUUGUGCACAUUGCAGUUGUCUGUUUGGAUGGAGAUGGCUGCAAAAUCCGAACUGGAUCAUCGAUAAUUGAGGAAGAUUCAAAUCUCGAUACAUCAAUUUCUUGUGACUUAUGUGAUAUAUGGUAUGUGUAACUUGUUAAAUUUCGUUUCAUUUACAGAUAUAGAGACAUUGAUGAUGAUUCUAUAUCAAUACGGAAUUGGUAAUUAGCUAGUAAACUCUAGCGACCUGUGUGUUAUUCAAAUGCAAUAGUUGGCCAUGGUAUGGAAUUCACUAAUUCAGAGAGUGGAAAUCUGAUUCUGUAUGGGGCUGAGAGAUGCAUUUGCCAGUGAAGGGCUUUGGUGCUUCAUGGUUGGUCUCUUGUAUAAUUCUCAGUUGGGCCUUGUUUAAGGGAGUCUUAGAGAGCCUUUUGUUAGAAUUAAGAAUUUUAAUGAUUAAAAAAUAUUGGGAUUUUUGCAACUAUUACUUGCCCUAAAAGAACUGAUGUUGCAUUUCAAAAUUUUGGCGCCGUAGUUCAUAGAGAUCUGAACUCCAUGCAUGUAAGGCUUAACAAAUGAUGCUUCCUUUGUCAUAACAGUGGGUGCUUUGUUUAAAUUGCCUUAAACCUGCCGUCUGCUAGCCCAAAAUUAACAAUCUCGGUGAAGGCAAUGUUCUGCCUUUUAUAAUCCAUAUCCAGUUGCGAUGGAGAAAUUAUUAUCCAUGAUAAUUUGAUGGGAUUGUGCUUUCAAAUGUUAUAUUUACUGCUAGCCUUUGUGAUUAUAUGUUUACUUAGACUAUGUUUGGGCUUCGUGGGUCAGUGUAAUAAGUGUAAUUUUUUGUAUGCAUCUCUUUCAAUUGGUCUCUUUUAAGAAUUUACUUUAAUUUGAUUCAUCCAAUCCUUAUGUUUUCCAAUGUAAGUGAUGUUACAGCACCAAAGAACUGUAAAAAAGAUGAGGUAUAGAAGAGGAAGGGAAAGAACUAGGAGGAAGGAGAAAAACAGGGAUAAUCCUAAUCAAUAUUCAAAUUCUUCAAAAUCCAAGCCAAGUCUGAUAAGUUCAUUACAUAAAGGCCUAUUUAUAGGCAUCCUUGGAAAACCCCAAUAAAUUCUAAUUCUAAUCUUCAAUUUAUCUUCAUCCAAUGCCUUUGUGCACUUUAUCUCAUCCAAUUUAUCUUCAAUUUAUCCUCAUCGGCUCUUUGUGCACUUUAUCACAAAGGGGCAGAUAUGGAUUGGUUAAUUCACUCUCUAUCAAGGUAUUUCUUAAUCCUUCAAGUAGUAUUGAGUUUUGAAUACAGAUUGUAGCCAAAAAUUAGUUUUAAUGUUAAAUUAAUAAAAUUAAUUUAACUCAUUCUGUUUAAUUUUUGUUUACUUCAUCAUUUUGAUGUGAAUUUUAAUUAUAUAUUGUUUUAUUUCCAGAACAAAUAACCUUGAAACAUAUAUAUAGAAUUGCAUCACUAUUCAAUACUAUGUAGUUGUUAUACAUAGAGUUCUAUAAUUACCAAUAGAAUUAAGCCAAACAGAAGUUGAUAGAAAAUCAAUUAUCUUUCUUUAUGAACUUCAUAAAUUGAUAUGGAGUAUUCAUUCUGAUGUAUUCCAUGUAGAUGCUGAGUAACAAUUUAAACAUGAAGAUUUUUCUUUUGCAGGUAAAUUAAAAUGUCUCUUAUCUAAAUCUUAUUCCUCAAUUAUUAUUACAAUGUUUCUUCCUAGUAUUUUCCUUCUGUUUACCUAUAACCAAACAGGGGGCAAUGUGACUCACAUUUGGUUUGCAUUAAUUUUGGUAUUUGAAGCUCACAGACACACAGACACUUGAUUAAUCUGAUUUGGUUUUCCCUUGAUCAUGGCACAUGUAAUUGUUACUAUUUUUUAUGAACAAAUUAUCAAUAGUUCCUAGAAAGAUACAGUACUUGUUGAGAAAUGCGACAGUGUAGAGUUGUACUGGACAUAUUUUGUUAUUUCAAUACAUCAAAUCCAGAAAAUGAAGAAAUUGAUUCAGACUCAAGAAACUGUUUUUGGCUAAUGUAAUGGCAUCAGAAGAACAAUUGUCAUUGAGACAAAUUAUUGUGGUUAGGGGUGGAACCAUGAUUUUUAUGUUAAGGGGCCAGAUUAAUACUAUGUUAUUAGGAGAUUAAAAAAUGAAUGAUAUACAUUUUAGGGUAAAUUACAUUGACCUCCAUAUGGUUUGGAGAAGAUAUCGUAAGUCCUAUAGUUUUGUUAGAAAGUUAGAGUUAUUAAUUUUAUAAUUGUUAUAAUUUGAAAUGCCAAUUUUAUUGAAU